UCCUGACUGACCGAUAGUGAACCAGUACCGUGAGGGAAAGGCGAAAAGAACCCCGGCGAGGGGAGUGAAAAAGAACCUGAAACCGUGUACGUACAAGCAGUGGGAGCACGCUUAGGCGUGUGACUGCGUACCUUUUGUAUAAUGGGUCAGCGACUUAUAUUCUGUAGCAAGGUUAACCGAAUAGGGGAGCCGAAGGGAAACCGAGUCUUAACUGGGCGUUAAGUUGCAGGGUAUAGACCCGAAACCCGGUGAUCUAGCCAUGGGCAGGUUGAAGGUUGGGUAACACUAACUGGAGGACCGAACCGACUAAUGUUGAAAAAUUAGCGGAUGACUUGUGGCUGGGGGUGAAAGGCCAAUCAAACCGGGAGAUAGCUGGUUCUCCCCGAAAGCUAUUUAGGUAGCGCCUCGUGAAUUCAUCUCCGGGGGUAGAGCACUGUUUCGGCAAGGGGGUCAUCCCGACUUACCAACCCGAUGCAAACUGCGAAUACCGGAGAAUGUUAUCACGGGAGACACACGGCGGGUGCUAACGUCCGUCGUGAAGA
rnacentral:rRNA from 1 species